rnacentral:lncRNA from 1 species
UUUUUUAUUUUGCGUAUUUUGACACUUUUAGACCGAAAAUUGCCAAGUUAACUUUAAAAAAUAGGCAAAAAAUACAAGAGGGACAUUCUCACCCAUAAGUCGAAAAUAAAAUGACAAAGCCACGGCUAAAUAAAGGCAACAGUAGUAUACCGCUGUUCAAACUCAUAAAUCCAUGGACAAAAAACAAAAUCGGGGUAACAAACUAAAACUGAGGGAAACGCAUAAAUAUAAGAGAAGAACAACGACACAACACUACAAUGUAACUAACACACACAGAAACGGACCAAGCAUCAGACAAAAUCCCACGAGAAUAACAAAUAUAACAUCAAAACCAAAUACAUGAAUUUGGGAUAGAAAAGUACCGUGACACGUCUUAUCGCAUUGUCAAUUUACACUCAAAAUAAGAGAAAACAAACGACGCAACGUUAAAUUGU